rnacentral:rRNA from 1 species
UACGUAGGGGGCUAGCGUUGUCCGGAUUUAUUGGGCGUAAAGAGCGUGUAGGCGGCCAGGUAGGUCUGCUGUGAAAACUCGAGGCUCAACCUCGAGACGUCGGCGGAAACCAUCUGGCUAGAGUCCGGAAGAGGAGAGUAGAAUUCCUGGUGUAGCGGUGAAAUGCGCAGAUAUCAGGAAGAACACCCGUGGCGAAGGCGGCUCUCUGGGACGGUACUGACGCUGAGACGCGAAAGCGUGGGGAGCGAACAGG